GAUCAUUACCGAGUGAGGGCCCUCUGGGUCCAACCUCCCACCCGUGUUUAUUUACCUUGUUGCUUCGGCGAGCCUGCCUUUUGGCUGCCGGGGGACGUCAGUCCCCGGGUCCGUGCUCGCCGGAGACACCUUAGAACUCUGUCUGAAGAUUGUAGUCUGAGAUUAAAUAUAAAUUAUUUAAAACUUUCAACAACGGAUCUCUUGGUUCCGGCAUCGAUGAAGAACGCAGCGAAAUGCGAUACGUAAUGUGAAUUGCAGAAUUCAGUGAAUCAUCGAGUCUUUGAACGCACAUUGCGCCCUCUGGUAUUCCGGAGGGCAUGCCUGUCCGAGCGUCAUUGCUGCCCUCAAGCACGGCUUGUGUGUUGGGCCCCGUCCUCCUUCCGGGGGACGGGUCCGAAAGGCAGCGGCGGCACCGCGUCCGGUCCUCAAGCGUAUGGGGCUUUGUCACUCGCUUUGUAGGCCUGGCCGGCGCUUGCCGAUCAACCAAACUUUUUAUCAGGUUGACCUCGGAUCAGGUAGGGAUACCCGCUGAACUUAAGCAUAUCAAUAAGCGGAGGAAAAGAAACCAACAGGGAUUACCUCAGUAACGGCGAGUGAAGCGGUAAGAGCUCAAAUUUGAAAGCUGGCUCCUUCGGGGUCCGCAUUGUAAUUUGCAGAGGAUGCUUCGGGAGCGGUCCCCAUCUAAGUGCCCUGGAACGGGACGUCAUAGAGGGUGAGAAUCCCGUAUGGGAUGGGGUGUCCGCGCCCGUGUGAAGCUCCUUCGACGAGUCGAGUUGUUUGGGAAUGCAGCUCUAAAUGGGUGGUAAAUUUCAUCUAAAGCUAAAUAUUGGCCGGAGACCGAUAGCGCACAAGUAGAGUGAUCGAAAGAUGAAAAGCACUUUGAAAAGAGAGUUAAAAAGCACGUGAAAUUGUUGAAAGGGAAGCGCUUGCGACCAGACUCGCUCGCGGGGUUCAGCCGGCAUUCGUGCCGGUGUACUUCCCCGCGAGCGGGCCAACGUCGGUUUGGGCGGUCAGUCAAAGGCCCCUGGAAGGUAACGCCCCCUCGGGGGCGUCUUAUAGCCAGGGGUGCAAUGUGGCCUGCCUGGACCGA
rnacentral:rRNA from 1 species